rnacentral:tRNA from 1 species
AUAAGAAUUUAGUUUAAUUUAAAAAUAUUAAAUUGUAAAUUUAAAGUUUAUUGUUCUUGAUUA